rnacentral:rRNA from 1 species
AACGAACGUUAGCGGCGCGCCUAACACAUGCAAGUCGCACGAGAAAGGGCUUCGGCCCCAGUAAAGUGGCGCACGGGUGAGUAACACGUGGGUAAUCUGCCUUCGAGCGGGGGAUAACAUUCCGAAAGGAGUGCUAAUACCGCAUAAGACCACGGCUCCGAAAGGAGCAGCGGUCAAAGCUGGCCUCUAUACAUAAGCUAGCACUCGAGGAUGAGCCCGCGGCGCAUCAGCUAGUUGGUGAGGUAAUGGCUCACCAAGGCGAAGACGCGUAGCUGGUCUGAGAGGAUGAUCAGCCACACUGGAACUGAGACACGGUCCAGACUCCUACGGGAGGCAGCAGUGGGGAAUCUUGCGCAAUGGGCGAAAGCCUGACGCAGCGACGCCGCGUGAGUGAUGAAGGCCUUCGGGUUGUAAAGCUCUGUGGGGAGAGAAGAAUAAGUGCGGGCUAAUACUCCGCAUGAUGACGGUAUCUCCUUAGCAAGCACCGGCUAACUCUGUGCCAGCAGCCGCCGUAAAAC